UACGUAGGGGGCUAGCGUUGUCCGGAUUUAUUGGGCGUAAAGAGCGUGUAGGCGGUCAGGUAGGUCUGCUGUGAAAACUCGAGGCUCAACCUCGAGACGUCGGCGGAAACCAUCUGGCUAGAGUCCGGAAGAGGAGAGUGGAAUUCCUGGUGUAGCGGUGAAAUGCGCAGAUAUCAGGAGGAACACCGGUGGCGAAGGCGGGAUCUCUGGGCCGAUACUGACGUGAGGAGCGAAAGCAUGGGGAGCGAACAG
rnacentral:rRNA from 1 species